rnacentral:rRNA from 1 species
UACAGAGGGGGCAAGCGUUGUUCGGAAUUACUGGGCGUAAAGGGCGCGUAGGCGGCCUUCUAAGUCGAACGUGAAAUCCCUGGGCUCAACCCAGGAACUGCGUCCGAUACUGGAAGGCUUGAAUCCGGGAGAGGGAUGCGGAAUUCCAGGUGUAGCGGUGAAAUGCGUAGAUAUCUGGAGGAAUACCGGUGGCGAAGGCGGCAUCCUGGACCGACAUUGACGCUGAGGAGCGAAAGCUAGGGGAGCAAACGGG